UGGCUCACUACAGAAGUUGGAUUAUAAUGAAGAAUUUUUUCAAGUAGACAUGCACAAUUGCUUGUUAUAAAAAAUUAAAGUGCUAAAUUUGGUUGAACAACUGCAGAGAUAUUCAGAUAAACAUGCUUUAUGCAUACUUAAUAAGGGGGUGGGGCUGAAGGUUUUUAGCUGAAAACUCCAAGGUUUUACAUCACAAGUCCAAAAAA